GGGAAGAAUCCUCCAUCAAACCGAGCACGGCUUUGGCUUUCUCCUGAUCCUCCCGUAUAUCGCAUCUGUUCGGCCUGUACCUUGGUGAGGUUCUUAAGAAUUCAUUUUCUCGUAAUCAUUCCACUCUAGACAGGGCCAGAGUCUCCAAAGACUAGGUUAGUCUGAAAAGACUUCCGACCUUUUCAGUGUUUCCUUCAAAUCUUUGCUUUCAGAAAGAGAAAUGGUCUUUGCCCUGACAGGGUGAAUCUCUUUCUCUAAGCCGUGCAAAUAGUGAUGGUGGGGAGAGGCGUGUGGGCGCCGUAUUUAUUUAUGUCCACCCGAAGACCGGAAGACCGGCCGUAUGCCAGUGCAGGAACUCCAUGCCUGUGGGCAUGGAAUACUUGACGUGGUCGGCAGGGAUCAGCUUGAUCGACUGUGGCCAUCUCAAGUUACAGCCACCAUGAUGCUCCCGAGUCACCCUGGUCUGUCCCUCCCUCAGAGCACAGCGUCCAGGGCACCGCGUGCACGCGAAAAGACAAAAUCAUUGGUAGGUGGAGCACUACGGCCUGCACCGUCGGGGCGCCGUCAGUACCGGGAAUGUGCCCGUUGUCCUCCGUAGUAUUAGCUUGAGAAAACACAGGGACAGGACGGCUCAGUGGAAGUCACCUUCGAGACCGCCGCAUAAGCUCCUUCCUUCUGACCCAAAUCACCAGAAUCCACUGGCCUUGCUGCUGGCCAGGACUUCACCUCCGCCAGGAAGUCCCUAGUGAAGCACGCUCUGUGUUGUCCUGGAUCUGUCUGCCUCCGGCUUCAGUUUUUCGGCACCGUGGAGAUGGUUCUCAGACUCCGGGACCAGGUGUUUCCAGAACAUGGCGCAGCCCAGCAAAUAUCCAGUGAGGUUUUUCAGACCUUCUCCCAUGUGUUGCUGUGAUUCCCAGUCUUACGGAGGAAAACAGUAAGGUUUUAGGACGUUUCGGUUUUUAGAUUCCUGAAAACUCCCUUUUGGUUCUCAGCUGCUCCGGCACCUUGGGACGUAACUGCCUUCCUGUUGGGUAACAAGAACCUGCAGAUCUCUUUGGCAAAGUGACCUGUGACCUGGGUCCCUGUCUCAGCAGCAAUGCAGUCCCAACUGAGGAAGGAAACCACUCAGAGACUUUGCCAGAGAGGAACAGAAUCAGCUGUCCUGCAAGGGCAGACUUGUCUUCAUCUACUGAUGGUCAGUUCUAUAGGAAACCCUUCACUCAACAAAUGUGUCCUUUGCCGGGGGGGGGGGCAGAUUCUGGCUGCAUAGCUCAGGCUAGCCUUGAACUCACUAUGUAUCCCAGGCUCACCUUGAACUCGUGGCGAUCCUCCUGCUGCGCACCACCGUGCCUGGUUUCCAUCAUAGUUCUUUAAGAUCAUUCCCUCAGUAACUGGCUAUGUGCCCAAUGUGUGCCGCCUACAUUAUGCUUCCGUGAUAGAAGCCUGUUACGCAAAUGAUCAGACCCUCCUUCCCACUGUACCUCAAAGACCCCAGAUUGCAUUCAGUUGACACGAGUACCUCAUCACCCUUAAACUUUUCAUUCUCCUUUCAGUUGUUCUUCACUCUCUAACAUUCUUUCAUGCUAUCCUUUGUUAGUUUUCAAAUCUCAUUUUCACAGUAGUUCAGAGGACUCAGCCACCAUAUUGCAUCUCUGGUGCUGGUGGUGGGGUUGGGCGGGGGAUGCACUGCAUAUUUGUGGACACUGUGAAAAUAAUGAAAUAUUUCAAAACUGCCACCCUUUCACCGUGGAGAAAGCUAACUGUUCUGAAGGCAAAUGUUGGAAAGCUUGAGCUCGCCCAGGACUGGGGAUGUAGCUCAGUGCAGAGUUCUUGGUUUAAUUCCCAGCAACACACACACACACACACACACACACACACACACACACACAAGCACGCACAGAGUUAGAAUGAGAAAUCUAAAAGUUCUUGGUGAUGAAGCCUUGCUUAAUGGUCUGAAUCUUAAACAUCCAAAUUCUCUUUUUAGGAGGGUCAUUCAGUGUGUAGAGGUCUUGAGUUGCUCUUUUGGCAAGCUUGCCUAGAAACCUGUACUAGGAGUCUAUUAACCUUAGAGGGUUGAGCAAGCUCAUGGAGAUCUUGGCGCUCUCUGGCAGGGAAGACUUGUGAGGAGUCCUUAAGUAUUUUCCAGUAUCCUGGGAGUGUUCCAUGGCGCUUUGUCCCAGCGACAAUCAGGAUUGAGACUGAAUGAUGUAGCUUAAUACUGCGUUGCAAUUCUAUGCAGUUGUGUGUGAGGACAUCAGAAUAACACAACGGGAAGUUAUCCAGAGAAGUGGAGAAGACAAAACAUGUAGACUAUCUCUUUUCAAAGCAUACAUUUAUUUUUGUUCUUUCCGCUUCACCACACGAUGUUAUGGGAUCAAUCCUGGUAGUAAAACAGCCACUACAGUGAAGAUCGUCAAUAUCUAUUCUCUCAUGUGGUUGUUUCGGUGUGUGCGACAAGAG
rnacentral:lncRNA from 1 species